AAAGCUUGGUCCUGACUUUAAUGUCAACUUUGGUUAAUUUUAUACAUGCAAGUCUCCGCGUCCCCGUGAGAAUGCCCUACAACUUCCCCUACGGAGAGAAGGAGCAGGUAUCAGGCACAACAAAAGGUUUGCCCACGACACCUUGCUAAGCCACACCCCCAAGGGAGUUCAGCAGUAAUAAACAUUAAGCAAUAAGUGCAAACUUGACUUAGAUAAUACCAAAAGGGCCGGUAAAACUCGUGCCAGCCACCGCGGUUAUACGAGGGGCCCAAGUUGACAACCACCGGCGUAAAAGGUGGCUAGUAGUUGCACAGCACACUAAAGUCAAACAUCUUUCAAGCUGUUAUACGCAUUUGAAGCCCAGAAGCUCACCCACGAAAGUGACUUUACAUACUACUACCCCACUAAAGCCAGGAAACAAACUGGGAUUAGAUACCCCACUAUGCCUGGCCCUAAACAAGAGCGCACCUUCACACCCGUCGCCUGCCUGGGGACUACGAGCCUAAGCUUAAAACCCAAAGGACUUGGCGGUGCUUUAGACCCCCCUAGAGGAGCCUGUUCUAGAACCGAUACCCCUCGUUAAACCUCACCCUCUCUUGUCAACCCCGCCUAUAUACCGCCGUCGUCAGCUUACCCCGUGAGGGGUCAAUAGUAAGCAAAAUUGGACACCCCAAAACGUCAGGUCGAGGUGUAGCAUACGAGAGGGAAAGAAAUGGGCUACAUUUACUGUACCAGUAAAAACGAAAAACACUUUGAAACAAGUGUUAGAAGGAGGAUUUAGCAGUAAGAGGGGAACAGAGUGCCCCCCUGAAAUUGGCCCUGAAGCGCGCACACACCGCCCGUCACUCUCUCCAAAACUAACACCUUCAGUUCCUAAAACAAAGCUUAAACUAAGGGGAGACAAGUCGUAACAUGGUAAGCGUACCGGAAGGUGUGCUUGGAAAAU
rnacentral:ncRNA from 1 species